rnacentral:misc_RNA from 1 species
GAGUACUUUCUUCUUCAGAUUUGUUAGCACAAGUAAUUUUGUUGUUUAUGACAAUGUGUGAUAUUAGUUUGACUGCGGCAAGAUCUUUCUACUCCAGUUGUUUAAAAAUUGGUGUUCUGUGAUGUCCAAAUGGAUCAGUGAUGGAAUGCCUUCUGUUUCUAUUACUCACCCAUAACAUGUACCAUGCUGUUAUUAAUUUUUUUUUUCAGAUUAAACCUUUUUAUCAAAACCAGUAAUAUGAUAAAAUAUUUUUAACAAUUUAUUUUUAAAUGUGUCACAAAAUUUGCAAGGUGAAGAAGCUUGACUUAAUUGUUCAAAAGAUAGUCACUCAUAACCAUAAACUUGUAGUUAUCUUUUGAGACUUCAAAAUAUGAAUGCCCCAAAAACUCUAUAGAUUUCAUUCAUGAAUUCUUUUGUAAAUAAAAAAAAUAACAGACUGGAUACUCCCCAUAUGUGAUUAGGUUUCCCAAAUAUUUGAAAGUUUAAAAUUGAAUUAUGUCUUUG